rnacentral:rRNA from 1 species
GUGAGGAAUAUUGGUCAAUGGGCGGGAGCCUGAACCAGCCAAGUCGCGUGAAGGAAGAAGGAUCUAUGGUUCGUAAACUUCUUUUGCAGGGGAAUAAAGUGCAGGACGUGUCCUGUUUUGUAUGUACCCUGAGAAUAAGGAUCGGCUAACUCCGUGCCAGCAGCCGCGGUAAUACGGAGGAUCCGAGCGUUAUCCGGAUUUAUUGGGUUUAAAGGGUGCGUAGGUGGUUUGAUAAGUCAGCGGUGAAAGUUUGCAGCUUAACUGUAAAAAUGCCGUUGAAACUGUCGGUGUUGAGUGUAAAUGAGGUAGGCGGAAUGCGUGGUGUAGCGGUGAAAUGCAUAGAUAUCACGCAGAACUCCGAUUGCGAAGGCAGCUUACUAAGCUACAACUGACACUGAAGCACGAAAGCGUGGGGAUCAAACAGGAUUAGAAACCCUGGUAGUCC